GGAGCAAUGCCGCGUGCAGGAUGAAGGCCUUCGGGUUGUAAACUGCUGUCAGAGUUUAGUAAGAAAGUGAACAGACUCAAAGGAAGGGCCGGCUAACUUCGUGCCAGCAGCCGCGGUAAUACGAAGGGCCCGAGCGUUAAGCGGAUUCAUUGGGCUUAAAGCGUACGUAGGCGGAUCAGUCAGCGCUUUGUGAAAUCCCCCGGCUCAACCGGGGAACUGCAGGGCGAACUGCUGAUCUUGAGUCAGGUAGGGGCCGUCGGAACGCACGGUGGAGCGGUGAAAUGCGUAGAUAUCGUGCGGAACGCCAAAGGAGAAGUCAGGCGGCUGGGCCUGUUCUGACGCUGAGGUACGAAAGCGUGGGGAGCGAACGGGAUUAGAUACCCCGGUAGUCCACGCCCUAAACGAUGUGUACUAGGUCGUGGGAGGUUUGACCCUCUCUCGAUCGAAGCGAAAGUGAUUAGUACACCGCCUGGGGAGUACGGUCGCAGGGCUAAAACUCAAAGGAAUUGACGGGGGCUCACACAAGCGGUGGAGCAUGUGGCUUAAUUCGAAGCAACGCGAAGAACCUUAUCCUGGGUUUGACAUGUAUGGAUUAACUCUGUGAAAGCAGAGCCACGCCUUCGGGUGGAACAUACACAGGUGCUGCAUGGCUGUCGUCAGCUCGUGCUGUGAAGUGUCGGGUUAAGUCCCUUAACGAGCGCAACCCUUGUCGUUAGUUGC
rnacentral:rRNA from 1 species